rnacentral:rRNA from 1 species
AACGAACGCUGGCGGCAUGCCUAACACAUGCAAGUCGAACGAGACCUUCGUGUCUAUUUGCGCACGUGUGCUUAACACUUGGUAACCUUCCCUUAGGUUCCCAAUCACUCCCCUAAGGGUGUGCUAAUACCUCAUAAUGUCUUCCUACCAAAGAUUUAUGGCCUUUUGAUGGGGCCUCGUUAGUUUCGCUAGUUGGUAGGGUAAAAGCAUACCAAGGCGACGAUCCAUAGCUGGUCUGAGAGGAUGAUCAUCCACAAUGGGAAUGAGACACAGCCCAGACUGCUACGGGAGGCAGCAGUGGGGAAUAUUAGAGAAGGGGCGCAAGUGUGAUAAAGCAAUGCGGGGUGAGAGAUGAAGGGAGUAGGGUUGUAAAGCUGGUUUAGACGGGAUGAUAAUGACAGUAACGGGAGAAGAAGCACCGGCUAACUACGUG